rnacentral:rRNA from 1 species
AUUGAACGCUGGCGGCAGGCCUAACACAUGCAAGUCGAGCGAGCGGCGGACGGGUGAGUAAUGUCUGGGAAACUGCCUGUUGGAGGGGGAUAACUACUGGAAACGGUAGCUAAUACCGCAUACCAUCAGAUGUGCCCAGAUGGGAUUAGCUAGUAGGUGGGGUAACGGCUCACCUAGGCGACGAUCCCUAGCUGGUCUGAGAGGAUGACCAGCCACACUGGAACUGAGACACGGUCCAGACUCCUACGGGAGGCAGCAGUGGGGAAUAUUGCACAAUGGGCGCAAGCCUGAUGCAGCCAUGCCGGGUGUGUGAAGAAGGCCUUCGGGUUGUAUAGCACUUUUGGCAGGAAAGCGGUACCUGCAGAAUAAGCACCGGCUAACUACGUGCCAGCAGCCGCGGUAAUAC